rnacentral:rRNA from 1 species
GAACGGGUAAUCGGGGAAUUAUUGGGGGCGUAAAGCGCUCGCAGGCGGUCUUUUAAGUCUGAUGUGAAAGCCCACGGCUCAACCGUGGAGGGUCAUUGGAAACUGGGAGACUUGAGUGCAGAAGAGGAGAGUGGAAUUCCACGUGUAGCGGUGAAAUGCGUAGAGAUGUGGAGGAACACCAGUGGCGAAGGCGACUCUCUGGUCUGUAACUGACGCUGAGGAGCGAAAGCGUGGGGAGCGAACAGGAUUAGAUACCCUGGUAGUCCACGCCGUAAACGAUGAGUGCUAAGUGUUAGAGGGUUUCCGCCCUUUAGUGCUGCAGCAAACGCAUUAAGCACUCCGCCUGGGGAAUACGGUCGCAAGACUGAAACUCAAAGGAAUUGACGGGGGCCCGCACAAGCGGUGGAGCAUGUGGUUUAAUUCGAAGCAACGCGAAGAACCUUACCAGGUCUUGACAUCCUUAUGCCUUCCCUAGAGAUAGGGCUUUCCCUUCGGGGACAUAAGUGACAGGUGGUGCAUGGUUGUCGUCAGCUCGUGUCGUGAGAUGUUGGGUUAAGUCCCGCAACGAGCGCAACCCUUGACCUUAGUUGCCAGCAUUCAGUUGGGCACUCUAAGGUGACUGCCGGUGACAAACCGGAGGAAGGUGGGGAUGACGUCAAAUCAUCAUGCCCCUUAUGACCUGGGGCUACACACGUGCUACAAU